AAAUUGAAGAGUUUGAUCAUGGCUCAGAUUGAACGCUGGCGGCAGGCCUAACACAUGCAAGUCGAGCGGCAGCGGGAAAGUAGCUUGCUACUUUUGCCGGCGAGCGGCGGACGGGUGAGUAAUGCCUGGGGAUCUGCCCAGUCGAGGGGGAUAACAGUUGGAAACGACUGCUAAUACCGCAUACGCCCUACGGGGGAAAGCAGGGGACCUUCGGGCCUUGCGCGAUUGGAUGAACCCAGGUGGGAUUAGCUAGUUGGUGAGGU
rnacentral:rRNA from 1 species